CUUUCCCUUAGUUCCUUUCUUCCUUAUUUUCUUUGUCUUUUUUUUUUUAAUUUAAAAAAAUUUUAAAUUCUUUUACUUUUUAGACAGUUUCACUUUGUAGCCCAAACUGGUCUGGAACUCAAUGUUAUCUAUCCUCCUGUAUCGGACUCCCGUGCCCACUGGCUUCCUUCUCUUCCAUGCUCUGGUGGAAGAGCAUGUGGCAGACUUUGUUCACAUUAAGGCAGAAGCAGAGAGGAACAGGAACCAAGGGUGGGUAUAGCCUCCAAUAGCCAUCCCCUCCCCUAACUCAUGACUAAUUCCCAACCUCUUUUUAAAAAAUCUGUCUUGUUGUUGUUUGUUUGUUUUUGAGACAGGGCCUCAUUCCAUAUCCUUGGCUGUCAAGAACUUACUGUGUAGACCAGGCUGGACUCACAGCCUCUGCCUCUGUCUCCUGAGUGCUGGGUUUAAAGGCAUAUGCCACCACUGCCCGGAAAACUCCAUAUCCUCUUAAGACAGUGUCAUCAGCUGGAGACCAUGCAUUAAAGUAUGAGCCUUCAGGGGACAUUUCAGGUUCAAAUCAUGACUGAUGGACAAAGACCGGGAGGGCAGGCCUCCAUAUCUCCUCUAUAGAGUAGCACCUGAGCCUUCUAUGUAGCAGACUGGUUAUCUUCCUAGUGACACAGGAAAGGCUACACUGCCUGCCAAGUGCCUCCCCUGAGCAUUCUGAUUCAGUUAGUCUGGGGAUAGUAUCUUGACCUGUGGAUACUUCUAAAGUUCCCUGUGUUACAGGGAGCUCACCAGAGAUGAACACUCAGACACAGUGUUUAGCCAAUAGAAGGCCUUUAUUCCAACCAGCUGGGACCACACCCAAGUGUCCCAGGACCUGAGUUUAGCCUCGAAUGUUCAAGCCCUGCUUUUUGUUUUGUUUUGUUUUGUUUUUAAAGCAGAAAUUGUGUCCUGAUAUCUCACUCAGUUGGCAGCUGCAGGGGGGCUUAGCAGAAAUAAGCAGUUUAAAGGAGCUAAGUUAGCUAGGACAUCCUGACCUUUAGUUCCUAGAAUAGAGUUGGGUAAUUUUCCAUGGGAUUCUCCAUCAAGGAGAUAAGGGCCUAGUAAAAUCUGAAAUGACCUCAGCAAGAAAACAAGAUGGAGGGGCUGGAGAGGUGGCUCAGCGGUUAAGAGCACUGACUGCUCUUCCAGAGGUUCUGAGUUCAAUUCCCA
rnacentral:lncRNA from 1 species